UACGAAGGGGGCAAGCGUUGUUCGGAAUUACUGGGCGUAAAGCGCACGUAGGCGGCUUUGUAAGUUAGAGGUGAAAGCCCGGGGCUCAACUCCGGAAUUGCCUUUAAGACUGCAUCGCUAGAAUUGUGGAGAGGUAAGUGGAAUUCCGAGUGUAGAGGUGAAAUUCGUAGAUAUUCGGAAGAACACCAGUGGCGAAGGCGACUCACUGGCCCGAUACUGACGCUGAGGCGCGAAAAGCGUGGGGAGCAAACAGGGAUUAAGAAACCCUA
rnacentral:rRNA from 1 species